rnacentral:rRNA from 1 species
AUUGAACGCUAGCGGGAUGCCUAACACAUGCAAGUCGAACGGAGUGGCGAACGGGCGAGUAAUGUAUCGGUACGUGCCCUGUCGCUGGGGAUAACUACGCGUCAGCGUACCUAAUACCGCAUACUUUUGGCGCGCCCGUAUGCGGAUUAGCUAGCUGGUUGGGUAACGGCUUACCAAGGCGACGAUCCGUAGCUGGUUUGAGAGGGCGACCUGCCACACUGGGACUGAGACACGGCCCAGACUCCUACGGGAGGCAGCAGUGGGGAAUUUUCCGCAAUGGGCGAAAGCCUGAUCGAGCCAUGCCGCGUGUGCGAUGAAGGCCUUCGGGUUGUAAAGCACUGUUGGCAGGAAAGCGGUACCUAAACAGUAAGCACCGGCUAACUACGUGCCAGCAGCCGCGGUAAUUC